GAUGAACGCUGGCGGCGUGCUUAACACAUGCAAGUCGAACGGUGAAGCAGAGCUUGCUCUGUGGAUCAGUGGCGAACGGGUGAGUAACACGUGAGCAACCUGCCCCUGACUCUGGGAUAAGCGCUGGAAACGGCGUCUAAUACUGGAUAUGAGCUGCGACCGCAUGGUCAGCAGUUGGAAAGAUUUUUCGGUCUGGGAUGGGCUCACGGCCUAUCAGCUUGUUGGUGAGGUAAUGGCUCACCAAGGCGUCGACGGGUAGCCGGCCUGAGAGGGUGACCGGCCACACUGGGACUGAGACACGGCCCAGACUCCUACGGGAGGCAGCAGUGGGGAAUAUUGCACAAUGGGCGAAAGCCUGAUGCAGCAACGCCGCGUGAGGGAUGACGGCCUUCGGGUUGUAAACCUCUUUUAGCAGGGAAGAAGGGAAAGUGACGGUACCUGCAGAAAAAGCGCCGGCUAACUACGUG
rnacentral:rRNA from 1 species